rnacentral:snoRNA from 1 species
CUGGCCUAAAAAGCAUUCGCGCUGUGGUUUUCAAUGCACGGUUUAGGGAUGCAACGUCGCAGAGCAAUCUGCCCCUCGGGUGGCGGGACUUGAUAUAUUCCAGUAACGGUGCGGAGCCGUUCAGGCGAUGAUAGCGCGGUUAAACCAUAUCACGUACAGU